rnacentral:lncRNA from 1 species
UUUUGGCAAACUUUGCAUCGGUUUUAGUUUUUUUUGGUUUUAAGUUGUGUUUUGGGGGUGGAGAGUUGAUUUUGGGGACCCCAAAUUCCAUUGAGGAAGGUCUUGUGUUCACAAAAAGUAGUUGGAUGAAAUCAUGAGUCAAGUGCAUUAAAAAAAGGUGGUGUAAUCGUGUACCAAUAGGUGGUAAAUGUUUACGCGAAUGUUUUGUUCAAUUUGUACAGAAAGUCCUUCACAAGGGACCANUUUUUUGUACACAGGGGACCACAUUGUAAAAUUUUAACUUUUUGGCAAACUUUGGAUUGGUUUUUGAUGAUUUUGG